UAUAAUACACACUGCUGCCCUCUACAGGGGAACGAUAGGUACUACAACACAACUACUAUAAUACAAACUGCUGCUGCCAUCUACAGGGGAACGAUAGGUACUACAACACAACUACUAUAAUACACACUGCUGCUGCCCCCUACAGGGGAACGAUAGGUACUACAACACAACUACUAUAAUACACACUGCUGCUGCCCCCUACAGGGGAACGAUAGGUACUACAACACAACAACUAUAAUACACACUGCUGCUGCCCCCUACAGGGGAACGAUAGGUACUACAACACAACAACUAUAAUACACACUGCUGCUGCCCUCUACAGGGGAACGAUAGGUACUACAACACAACUACUAUAAUACACACUGCUGCUGCCCCCUACAGGGGAACUAUAGGUACUACAACACAACAACUAUA